rnacentral:lncRNA from 1 species
CCACUAUAUAAUACUUGCUGAAUGUGAUUGGCUGAGUUAGCACACCUGGCAAGAAAUAAGGAAUAGCUACUGAGGUGGCAGUAGCAUUAUCCGUGUGUGAGGUAACACAGGAAGUGAUGGGGUGGAGCCAUCCCUUCAAACAUUCUGUUGCCUUAGGCGAAGGAUAAAAAAGACACUCCAGCUGUUCUAUGUGCAGAGGCUGCCUAGAAUGUCAGUUAAAUUUUAUUUCAGUUCUGAUACUGGAACAGCAUCUUCCACUGCAUGUGAGCUAAGUGGCUUAGGGCAGGCCACAUGCUACAGAAAUUUAUUUUGUUGUUGUUGUUGUUCACGACUUUCCCGCCACCAUCUAACUUCUGACUCAUGGAGGGUCAGCUUUGGGAUGAUAGGUCAAAUGGUAAAACCACACCAAUAUCUUUUCCAGGGAAUCAUUACUGAAAUGGCAACCAUCAUCCAACAGGCUUGCUCAUUUGUGUCUGUGUCUGCAUUUCUUCAAAACCCUUGAGGAGGGAAUUAAAGAGUGCUCCAAGGCUUAUGAACUAGGUAAUCAGGAAAAAUGCAUACAUUACCUACUACAGAAGAAAAAGAAGCACCGAGCAGAUUUAUUAGGGAGGCCUGUUGUAAUGUAAAAAUAAAAAAGAGUGAAAGAAAUAAAAUGCUGAAUUC